UCAAUUUCUCUCUCUCUCUCUCUCUCUCUCUCUCUCUCUCUCUCUCUCUCUCGACCAUCUUCACACUGCAAUGAUUCGAUUUCGAACUGGGUGAAAAGAGAGAGAGAGAGAGAGAGAGAGAGAGAGAGAGAGAACAAAAU
rnacentral:misc_RNA from 12 species